GAUGAACGCUAGCGACAGGCUUAACACAUGCAAGUCGAGGGGUAGCAGGGAUAAAGCUUGCUUUAUUUGCUGACGACCGGCGCACGGGUGAGUAACGCGUAUGCAACCUACCUAUCAGUAAGGGAUAGCCCAUUGAAAGAUGGAUUAAUACCUUAUAAAGCAGGGAUCCCGCAUGGGAAUAUUUGCUAAAGAUUAAUCGCUGAUAGAUGGGCAUGCGUUCCAUUAGUUAGUUGGUGAGGUAACGGCUCACCAAGACAUCGAUGGAUAGGGGUUCUGAGAGGAAGGUCCCCCACACUGGUACUGAGACACGGACCAGACUCCUACGGGAGGCAGCAGUGGGGAAUAUUGGGCAAUGGAGGAAACUCUGACCCAGCAACGCCGCGUGAAGGAUGAAGGUCUUCGGAUUGUAAACUUCUGUUGUUAGGGACGAAGAAUGACGGUACCUAACGAGAAAGCCCCGGCUAACUACGUGCCAGCCGCCGCCGUAAUAC
rnacentral:rRNA from 1 species